rnacentral:rRNA from 1 species
CAGUCGCCGCGGUAAUACGUAGGGUGCAAGCGUUAAUCGGAAUUACUGGGCGUAAAGGGUGCGUAGGCGGGUCUUUAAGUCAGGGGUGAAAUCCUGGAGCUCAACUCCAGAACUGCCUUUGAUACUGAAGAUCUUGAGUUCGGGAGAGGUGAGUGGAACUGCGAGUGUAGCGGUGAAAUGCGUAGAUAUUCGCAAGAACACCAGUGGCGAAGGCGGCUCACUGGCCCGAUACUGACGCUGAGGCACGAAAGCGUGGGGAGCAAACAGGAUUAGAUACCCCAGUAGUCCCUGUCUCUUAUAC